GGUUGCGUAGCCCAGUGAUUAAGGCAUCUGCUUUACAAUAAAACACUCAGAGUGUCCAAGUAUCCCGCAGAGGAUCGCAGGUUCGAUCCCUGCCGCGAUCA